rnacentral:rRNA from 1 species
UACGUAGGGCGCAAGCGUUGUCCGGAAUUAUUGGGCGAAAAGAGCUCGUAGGCGGUUUGUCGCGUCUGCUGUGAAAACCUAAGGCUCAACCUUGGGCUUGCAGUGGGUACGGGCAGACUAGAGUGCGGUAGGGGUGACUGGAAUUCCUGGUGUAGCGGUGGAAUGCGCAGAUAUCAGGAGGAACACCGAUGGCGAAGGCAGGUCACUGGGCCGCAACUGACGCUGAGGAGCGAAAGCAUGGGGAGCGAACAGG